ACAUAUCAUUUGGAUGAAUCACU
rnacentral:siRNA from 1 species